rnacentral:rRNA from 1 species
AGGCUUUGAUCCUGGCUCAGGAUGAACGCUAGCGGCAGGCUUAAUACAUGCAAGUCGAACGGUAACAGGUCCAGCAAUGGAUGCUGACGAGUGGCGCACGGGUGCGUAACACGUAUGCAACCUACCCACCACCGGGGGAUAACCCUGAGAAAUUAGGGCUAAUACCCCAUGGUAUCAACGAGCGGCAUCGUUUGUUGAUUAAAGAUUAAUCGGUGAUGGAUGGGCAUGCGCCCCAUUAGCUAGUUGGUGAGGUAACGGCUCACCAAGGCCACGAUGGGUAGGGGACCUGAGAGGGUUAUCCCCCACACUGGUACUGAGACACGGACCAGACUCCUACGGGAGGCAGCAGUAAGGAAUAUUGGGCAAUGGUCGAGAGACUGACCCAGCCAUGCCGCGUGCAGGAAGACGGCCCUACGGGUUGUAAACUGCUUUUGCACGGGAAUAAUCGCCCCGACGUGUCGGGGUUUGCAGGUACCGUGCGAAUAAGCAUCGGCGUAAAUCCG